GACGAACGCUGGCGGCGUGCUUAACACAUGCAAGUCGAACGGGAUUUAGUAAACAGAAACCUCGGUGGAAGAUUACUAAUGAGAGUGGCGAACGGGUGAGUAACGCGUGAGCAACCUGCCUAUGACAGUGGGAUAGCCUCGGGAAACCGGGAUUAAUACCGCAUAAAAUCGUAGAAACACAUGUUUUAACGGUCAAAGAUUUAUCGGUCAUAGAUGGGCUCGCGUCUGAUUAGCUAGUUGGUGAGAUAACAGCCCACCAAGGCGACGAUCAGUAGCCGGUCUGAGAGGAUGAACGGCCACAUUGGAACUGAGACACGGUCCAAACUCCUACGGGAGGCAGCAGUGGGGAAUAUUGCACAAUGGGGGAAACCCUGAUGCAGCGACGCCGCGUGAACGAAGAAGGUAUUCGUAUCGUAAAGUUCUGUCCUAUGGGAAGAUAAUGACAGUACCAUAGAAGAAAGCUCCGGCUAAAUACGUG
rnacentral:rRNA from 1 species